AACGAACGCUGGCGGCGUGCCUAACACAUGCAAGUCGAACGAGAUCUUCGGGUCUAGUGGCGCACGGGUGCGUAACGCGUGGGAAUCUGCCCUUUGGUUCGGAAUAACAGUUGGAAACGACUGCUAAUACCGGAUGAUGACGAAAGUCCAAAGAAUUAUCGCCAGAGGAUGAGCCCGCGUAGGAUGAGCUAGUUGGUGUGGUAAAGGCGAACCAAGGCGACGAUCCUUAGCUGGUCUGAGAGGAUGAUCAGCCACACUGGGACUGAGACACGGCCCAGACUCCUACGGGAGGCAGCAGUGGGGAAUAUUGGACAAUGGGCGAAAGCCUGAUCCAGCAAUGCCGCGUGAGUGAUGAAGGCCUUAGGGUUGUAAAGCUCUUUUACCCGGGAUGAUAAUGACAGUACCGGGAGAAUAAGCUCCGGCUAACUCCGUGCCAGCAGCCGCCGUAA
rnacentral:rRNA from 1 species